AUUGAACGCUGGCGGCAGGCCUAACACAUGCAAGUCGAACGAGUGGCGGACGGGUGAGUAAUGUCUGGGAAACUGCCUGAUGGAGGGGGAAAACCUUUGGAAAAGGUAGCAAACACCGCAUACUAUCAGAUGGGCCCAGAUGGGAUGAGCUUGUUGGUGGGGUAACGGCUCACCAAGGCGACGACCCCUAGCUGGUCUGAGAGGAUGACCAGCCACACUGGAACUGAGACACGGGCCAGACUCCUACGGGAGGCAGCAGUGGGGAAUAUUGCACAAUGGGCGCAAGCCUGAUGCAGCCAUGCCGCGUGUGUGAAGAAGGCCUUCGGGUUGUAAAGUACUUUCAGCGGGGAGGCGUUACCCGCAGAAGAAGCACCGGCUAACUCCGUGCCAGCAGCCGCGGUAAUAC
rnacentral:rRNA from 1 species